UACAGAGGGGGCAAGCGUUAUUCGGAAUUAUUGGGCGUAAAGGGCGCGUAGGCGGCUUGGCAAGUGGGAGGUGAAAUCCCUCGGCUUAACCGAGGAACUGCCCUCCAAACUGCCUGGCUUGAGUGCGGGAGAGGUGAGUGGAAUUCCCAGUGUAGCGGUGAAAUGCGUAGAUAUUGGGAGGAACACCAGUGGCGAAGGCGGCUCCCUGGACCGGAACUGACGCUGAUGCGCGAAAGCGUGGGGAGCAAACGGG
rnacentral:rRNA from 1 species